GCAACUCGACUGCAUGAAGCCGGAAUCGCUAGUAAUCGCGGAUCAGAAUGCCGCGGUGAAUACGUUCCCGGGUCUUGUACACACCGCCCGUCACACCAUGGGAGUCGGAAAUGCCCGAAGCCGGUGGCCUAACCGAUAAGGGAGGAGCCGUCGAAGGCAGGUCUGAUGACUGGGGUGAAGUCGUAACAAGGUAAC
rnacentral:rRNA from 1 species